AUUGAACGCUGGCGGCAUGCCUUACACAUGCAAGUCGAACGGCAGCACGGGUGCUUGCACCUGGUGGCGAGUGGCGAACGGGUGAGUAAUACAUCGGAACAUGUCCUGUAGUGGGGGAUAGCCCGGCGAAAGCCGGAUUAAUACCGCAUACGAUCCACGGAUGAAAGCGGGGGACCUUCGGGCCUCGCGCUAUAGGGUUAGCCGAUGGCUGAUUAGCUAGUUGGUGGGGUAAAGGCCUACCAAGGCGACGAUCAGUAGCUGGUCUGAGAGGACGACCAGCCACACUGGGACUGAGACACGGCCCAGACUCCUACGGGAGGCAGCAGUGGGGAAUUUUGGACAAUGGGCGAAAGCCUGAUCCAGCAAUGCCGCGUGUGUGAAGAAGGCCUUCGGGUUGUAAAGCACUUUUGUCCGGAAAGAAAUCCUUGACUCUAAUACAGUCGGGGGAUGACGGUACCGGAAGAAUAAGCACCGGCUAACUACGUG
rnacentral:rRNA from 1 species